rnacentral:lncRNA from 10 species
UAAAAGCCCUCUUAAGCUUGCAGCAAGAAGAAUAGGAAGUCAGCUGUCAAUUAGCUUACUAUGAUGUUUUCUCAGUCAUAUUUUGAAAGAGAAGUUGAAUUCAACAUUUUCCAAAAAUCUGCAAACAGCAGCAUGGAAUGGAAAACCAAACAUUGUACGCUCUCACUCGUAAGUGGGAGCUAAGCUAUGAGGAUGCAAAAGCAUAUGAAUGAUACAAUGGAUUUUGGGGACUUGGGGAAAAGGGUGGGAGGGGGUUGAGGGAUAAAAUAAUACAAAUUGGGUGUAGUGUAUACUGCUUAGGUGAUGGAUGCACCACAAUCUCACAAAUCACCACUAAAUGACUUACUCAUGUAACCAAACACCACCUGUUCUUUAAAAAC